CCUUUGUGUAUCUGUGUCCCUGACUAUCCUGGAACUUAUUCUGUAGACCAGACUGGCCUCAAACUCAGAGAUCCGCCUGCCUCUGCCUCUUGAGUGCUGGGAUUAAAGGAGUGCACCACCACUGCCUGUCUUAAAAGCUGUUUCUUUAUCCUUUUAUUUUACUAAUCUGAAGAGCAGCUUUGAAAAUCAGUCAUUUCAAAACACUCUUAUGGCCAAAUCCUUCUCCUCCAGAUGGCUACAUCUUUUCUUCUGGAUACCACCAGAUCAUUCCAGCCACCUGCCUUUGUGGUGUCUCCAGACAAGGACUGACAACCAUCGAAGCAUCGAAACCCUAAGGCUACUUGGAGAGAAGAAGAAUGUCCCUGGAGAAGAGUCCUUCCUUGCCAUCUGGAUCUCCUAGCUUCCCCCUGAAGAGGAGAGAGAGAAAGAGCCAGCAGAUCUUCAAAAGGAUAUGAAUCAGAGAGAAAGAAGUGAAAUCUUGUCCUAGGAAGAAAGGGAGCGAUUGGCAGAAGACUUGUCUCUGGUAAGGCAAUUUACA
rnacentral:lncRNA from 1 species